UACGGAGGGUGCAAGCGUUAUCCGGAUUCACUGGGUUUAAAGGGUGCGUAGGCGGACAGGAAAGUCCGUGGUGAAAUCCUGCAGCUUAACUGCAGAACUGCCGUGGAUACUCUCUGUCUUGAAUAUCGUAGAGGUGAGCGGAAUAUGUCAUGUAGCGGUGAAAUGCAUAGAGAUGACAUAGAACACCGAUUGCGAAGGCAGCUCACUACGCGAAGAUUGACGCUGAGGCACGAAAGCGUGGGGAUCAAACAGG
rnacentral:rRNA from 1 species